UGUGAGGAGGUUUGAUGUCCCUAAUUCUUCAGGUAAGAGAACCGAGGGUUGAUCACUUACGUCAUUUGUUCAGGUCUCAAUGAACCUCCCUCUGUCUGCCCAACAAGACAGAAAGACAGUGCCAAGGGCCUUGUGGCCCCAUAGCAACCAGACCAGGCAGUAGCUGCUGGAGUAAACAAACAGAUAAGCAACUGGAUUCUGCCAUUGUCUCCCUGGGAGAUAGAUGAAGAAAACGAGCAACAAUUCACAGCUCCUGGGUCUGCCUGUCCUGGUGACUGCCUCCAUUAGCAUUUAACCCCAGCAAGGUGCUAGAUUGCCUCUAAUUGGGACAAAACAUAAAGGCAUGUACCAAGUUUCUAUGUUUUGUUGCUAAGGAAAGAGGUACUUAGGGCUGGGGGUGCUGAAAGGAAACAUUCUUCCAUCCUUAACCCUUUCCUCUCCAGGGAAAGGCUGGGAAGAUACGUGAACUCACACACUAGUCUUCCCUGUCCCCUCACAAUUUUCUCAGAAGACUCAUUGAUCCUGAAAGUAUCCCAGUUACUAGAUAGUUAAGAUACAAUGACCAAAUGGAGUGGGCAGCUUCAGUAGUAGGACAUGAUGUACCAAUCCUGUGAAGGUUAAAGCGGUUGCUACUUGACAUGCUUAGUUCAGCUUUAGGUACAAUUGGUCUAUUUCAUCAUUCUCAUAGUAGAGAUAACAGAGGCCCAGAGGGGUUAUGAUUUUUGCUCAAGGUAGUGGUUCAUUGUCCUUAUAUGGGUGUCUUGGUACUCACCUUGUCUCCCUAUGGCCGGUAAGCCUGCCUGUGUAAAGGUCAGGAGUUCAACAAACAUUGCUGAGCCCCUGCUAACAUGGCUAUGGUGGGUUUUGGUUAACGAAGAGUGAGCAGAUGCAAAGGCAAAGAACCAUGUCUCCCAGAAAGACAUGUAGCAGCCAGGGGAACUGUAACUCAGCUCUUUAGAUGGCAGGAAGAAUUGUUUCCUACAGGGAAAGAGAAGAUACGCUGGUUGGGCUUUUAGCAAGAUGGAUCCUGAGAUGGGAAGAGAGGGCAAAACCCCAUAUGAAAUAUGAAGUUCCUGAGAUCACCUCAGAGAUGGGACAGAGAGGGGAAAGUGGCCUCUGAUAUCAACUUUCUGAGACUCCAUCCCACUAUGGACUUCUGAUGCUUGGAUGACCCUUCAGAGUUGUUUUAAAGAGGCAAGAGACACAGGUUAUCAUGCCUUGGUAUUAAGACUUUUUUUUGUGUGUGUGUGCUUCUCCUGAAAAGGAUAAUGCCUUUGGGAGAGGGGAUCUUUCCAGCCUGAGCGACCUCCAAGGGGCUGACUAUGUAGCUGAGGUCUCUGGGGCCAGGUGCUUGUCUUUUUCUCCUGGAUGAAGGCAGUGUUGCAGGACUGUGUUCUUUGUACACCUCCCCCGAGGCAUCAGGGUCUCUCCAGCUGCCUGCCGCUUUGCAGACUCCGUGACUGCCUGCACGUUGUCAUUCCUUGUUUGUAUCCUUGAGUUUGUCUCUCCAGAGUCACAGGAAUUUGUACAGAACCCCCAGAGGCUGGAAUAUGUGUGCCUGAUUCUACUGAGGGUACUGAGGCAGAAGGAUAUGACAUCAAGCUGCCAUAAAAGGAAAGGCACACUGUUGGCAUAGUCAACAGAAUGUGUUCCUCUGACGUUUCCAGAAGGAGGCCCAAGCGUCUGUGCUGGACUCCCAUGACAGGCAGGUGUCAGGUGUAAGAUCUGGUUACGUCUGAACCGAAGCCUGUUAAGUGCCUGCCUUUAGCUUUAGGACCAUCCUGUAGGGACAAAAGGAAGUCUAAUCUUCACCCCUUUUGCACUACAGUCUUCAGUUACGUAAAUACUAAAUGCCUGAUUACAUCUUGUUCUGUUAUUAAAGUCCUUACCUGGAAGUUUGAUAUUUAAAGGGGGAUGGAAGGUGAGCCUGAAACAGUUGCUAAGAGCCCAGUGUGUCACUUACAGAUCAAGAAACACCAAGAAAAAACGUCUGCUGCAAAGACUUCCAGAAGAUUGCCAGCCUGCUGUUUGUGAAGACUUUCUCUGCCUAUGAAACCCACCUCCUCCACUGGGCCCACGGACCACAUGACCUAUUUCAUGGGAUGAAGUUUUACUUGAUUCUAGAAUAAAAAUUAAGCCAAUUGGGACCUUGA